UGGAGGGGUAACGGCCCACCAAGGCGACGAUGCGUAGCCGACCUGAGAGGUUGGCCGGCCACAUUGGGACUGAGACACGGCCCAGACUCCUACGGGAGGCAGCAGUGGGGAAUAUUGGGCAAUGGGCGCAAGCCUGACCCAGCAACGCCGCGUGAAGGAUGAAGGCUUUCGGGUUGUAAACUUCUUUUAAGAGGGACGAAACAAAUGACGGUACCUCUUGAAUAAGCCACGGCUAACUAC
rnacentral:rRNA from 1 species